rnacentral:rRNA from 1 species
ACCGGCGCACGGGUGCGUAACGCGUAUACAAUCUACCUUUUACAGAGGGAUAGCCCAGAGAAAUUUGGAUUAAUACCUCAUAGUAUUUUCGAAUCGCAUGAUUUGAUUAUUAAAGUUCCAACGGUAAAAGAUGAGUAUGCGUCCCAUUAGCUAGAUGGUAAGGUAACGGCUUACCAUGGCAACGAUGGGUAGGGGUCCUGAGAGGGAGAUCCCCCACACUGGUACUGAGACACGGACCAGACUCCUACGGGAGGCAGCAGUGAGGAAUAUUGGACAAUGGGCGCAAGCCUGAUCCAGCCAUGCCGCGUGCAGGAAGACGGUCCUAUGGAUUGUAAACUGCUUUUAUACAGGAAGAAACACCUCUACGUGUAGAGACUUGACGGUACUGUAUGAAUAAGCAUCGGCUAACUCCGUGCCAGCAGCCGCGGUAAUACGGAGGAUGCAAGCGUUAUCCGGAAUCAUUGGGUUUAAAGGGUCCGUAGGCGGCCAAAUAAGUCAGUGGUGAAAGCCCAUCGCUCAACGAUGGAACGGCCAUUGAUACUGUUUGGCUUGAAUUAUUAGGAAGUAACUAGAAUAUGUAGUGUAGCGGUGAAAUGCUUAGAGAUUACAUGGAAUACCAAUUGCGAAGGCAGGUUACUACUAAUAUAUUGACGCUGAUGGACGAAAGCGUGGGGAGCGAACAGGAUUAGAUACCCUGGUAGUCCACGCCGUAAACGAUGGAUACUAGC